UCUCCGUAGGUGAACCUGCGGAGGGAUCAUUACAGAGUUCAUGCCCUACCGGGUAGAUCUCCCACCCUAUGUUAUUAUUACUUUGUUGCUUUGGCGGGCCGUUAGGCUCCGGCCCGACUACCGGCCCCGGCUGGUAAGCGCCCGCCAGAGGACCCAAAACCCUGAAUAUUAGUGUCGUCUGAGUACUAAAUAAUAGUUAAAACUUUCAACAACGGAUCUCUUGGUUCUG
rnacentral:misc_RNA from 1 species